rnacentral:snoRNA from 1 species
UCAAGCCAGUGAUGAUAAAAGUUAUCCCUGUCUGAACUUAAGUGUUGAGUUAUGGUAACCUGAGGCUUGA